rnacentral:rRNA from 1 species
AUUGAACGCUGGCGGGAUGCUUUACACAUGCAAGUCGAGCGGCAGCGCGGGGGCAACCCUGGCGGCGAGCGGCGAACGGGUGAGUAAUACAUCGGAACGUGUCCUUAAGUGGGGGAUAGCUCGGCGAAAGCCGGAUUAAUACCGCAUAAGCUCUGAGGAGGAAAGCGGGGGCUCCGUAAGGACCUCGCGCUGUUGGAGCGGCCGAUGUCGGAUUAGCUAGUUGGUGGGGUAAAGCCCACCAAGGCGACGAUCCGUAGCUGGUCUGAGAGGAUGAUCAGCCACACUGGAACUGAGACACGGUCCAGACUCCUACGGGAGGCAGCAGUGGGGAAUUUUGGACAAUGGGGCAACCCUGAUCCAGCCAUUCCGCGUGAGUGAAGAA